rnacentral:lncRNA from 10 species
GUCCUAAGAGCUCCCUACUUAGGGACUUAAAUCCAAAUCUUGGACUCUGCGACCUCCGUUCUCACCACCGUUCUGUGCUAUUCCCUGAGAGGCAGCGCAGGUCCUUGCGUCGCAGAUGGGGCUGCCUGUCUCCAAGGCCUUCCCUGCUCCUAUGACAGUGGAGGUGUGAAGGGGAUUGGAAGUGUCCUCGAGUUCUUUCUGAAGAAACACAUCAGGCAAAUAACAGAUUUAUAAAGGUUUGUAAAUCAAAUCAAGGACCUGAGUCAGACUCCGGACUUACUGAAGUUCAACCUUCCUGAAGACGAAAACAGGCUGAGCAGCAUGGAUGGCAAGGCCGUCUCUGCCCCAAGGCACCAGCUGGCGGACAGGAUCUCGGUUCCAUCUACCAGCCACUGCAAAGCAGGGACAUGUGUGUCAACCGGGCCCUGGGACAGGUGGUCUGGGCCUCCCCUCUCUUCCCUGUGGUGAUGGGGACAGGGAACUUUGUAGGAGAAACCUACGAAAUGGAAACUGUGAAGGGAAAUGCUUUUUUUUUUUUUUUUUUUUUAAUGAGAUGGAGUUUCACUCUUGUUGACCAGCCUGGAGGGCAGUGGGGCGAUCUCGGCUCACUGUAACCUCCACCUCCUGGGUUCAAGUGAUUCUCUUGCCCCAGCCUCCUGAGUAUCUGGGAUUACAGGUGCCUGCCACCAUGCCUGGCUAAUUUUUGUAUUUUUAGUAGAGAUGGGGUUUUGCCAUGUUGGCCAGGCUGGUCUCGAACUCCUGGCCUUGGGUGAUCAGCCCACCUUGGCCUCCCAAAGCGCUGGGACUACAGGCAUGGGCCACCGUGUCCAGCUGGGAAAUGCUUUCCUUGACUCAGUGCUAGGAGUAGGAUGGCCCCAAGCACAAAGGGCUGCUUAGUCAAUCCUCUGACUGCCAGAAGGUACAAAGCUCUUAGAGCCUGACAUGGUUUGGAUGUGUGUCCCCUCCAAAUCUCAGGUUAACUGUGAUCCCCAGUGCUGGAGGUGGGGCCCAGUGGGAGGUGUUUGGGUCAUGGGGGUGGGUCCCUCCUGAAUGAUUUUGUGCCAUCCCCUUGGUGAUGAGUUGUCGCUCCGUUAGUUCACAUAAGACCGGGUUGUUUAAAAGUCUGGGAUCCCCCCACUCUCUCUCAUUCCCACUCUUGCCAUGUGAUGGGCCUGCUUCGGCUCUGCCUUCCGCCGUGGUUGUAAGCUUCCAGGGGCCUCGCUAGAAGCCAAGCAGAGGUUGGUGCCAUGCCUGUACAGCCUGCUGAACGGCGCGCCAGAACAGCACCCCACCAGAUUCGCUUCCCGUGGCUUUUGAGUCUUAAACAUAUCUACGGCGUCUAGGAGCCUCAUUAGAACAAACCAGACAUUACAUCAAAUGAAAACCCCAGUGGUUCUGAAUCACCAGAUGUUAGCAGGAGGCGAGAUGAAAAGCCACAGUCCUCUCGCAGCAGCUGCUGGAGGUGGCUGUGUCCUUGCUGAUGGACCUGGAGGUGGCUGUGUCCUUGCUGAUGGACCUGGAGGUGGCUGUAUCCUUGCUGAUAGACCCGAGAUACCUGGAGACCCAGGCUCACUCCCUGCUCACUGCCUCAGAUCAGGGCUGGAGACAGAAACCCGGACACACAGGACCCUCUUGAGAAAGCCCAGGAGCCCUCAACAUCACAGGACACAGCCCUACUGACCUCAUGGAGAAGGAAACAAAGAAGAGGAACGAAGGAACAAAAAAAAAAUGGAAGACCCUCUUGCUGGCAAGAUGAAUACAAUUAUAGCCAUGUUUAGUUACACUGCAGAGAAAUUUGGCAACACCAAAGAGAAAGAAGACACUGAAAGCUUGAUGAGCAGAAAUGGAAAUCAACCACAAAGACUGGCUGAUGCUUUUUUUUUUUUUUUUUUUUUAAAUCUUUUAGUCAAGCCUCCAAAGUUAUGGAAGAAAAUGGUGUCUAGCCAAUGAUCCAAGUGUGAGAAUAUAAAAAGGCAAUUUCAGGCAAGCAACAACUUGGAAUUGACCUCGUUUUCUCUUGACAAGAUAUUUGGCCAUACGCUGCCGCAAAAGUAGAAAGAAGGCUGAGAAAGAUGACAUAAAAUCCAAGAAAGAAAGGCAUUAACCUGGCACACAGUGAAAAAUUCUACCAGGAUAGUGGUUCAGCAGGACGACAGAGCCAGUGCUCCUGUUAGCUCAAAGAAUGUGCUGAAGAGUUGGUUUUUCAGGAGGAAAAGUGGAUUCCCAGAAUAAUAGUAUAAUUAGGAAGCUGGUAACCUUGGAGACUGGGUAAAGGCUUAUGUUUUUGUUAACAAGAGGCCAACUAGGUUACGGGGAAAAAAAAUAGAAGCUGUGCAAGAAAGCCUUGGUGAAAUGAAAGCAAUCAAGAUGGGCACCGCUGAGCAAUUCAUCAAUGUAAUAGGAGAGUCCAACGCACCUGGAUAGUCAAGACAUUUUCAGUUGAGGGAUACAUUUUCAAGGAUAUAAAGUAACAUUUUCUCUUGCAGACUGAUCACACUUUAUUAUGUUGUAAAUAAUAUUUAUAGGGUCAUAUUGUAAAUCCUGUUUAUGGAUCUAUUAUUUAGACUCAGCCUAGCACAGGGAAAACAGAAACAUAAAUCUAAUAAAUAUUAACAAUGUGAAGCAAACAGGAGGUGAGAUGAAAAGUAAAAGUCCAUUUCACCACCAUUUGUAUUAGUAAGUUGUUUUUUGGUUUUGUUUUGUUUUGCUUUUUUGGAGACAGGGUCUCACUCUGUUGUCCAGGCUGGAGUGCAGUGGCAAAACCUUGGCUCACUGCAGCCUCCGCCUCCACAAAUGUUCAAGCAUUUCUUCUGCCUCGGCCUCCCGAGUAGCUGGGAUUACAGGCACAUGCACCAUGCCUAAUUUUUGUAUUUUUAGUAGAGACAGGGUUUCACCAUGUUGACCAGGCUGGUCUUGAACUCCUGACCUCAGGUGAUCCACCUACCUCAGCCUCCCAAAGUGCUGGGAUUACAGGCAUGAGCCACCAUGCCCAGCCUACAUUCGUAAGUUAAUAGACAUUGUCCCAAAAUAUACUUAAUAUAUUUUUUGUAUACUUUUGUAUAUUAAUAGUAUACAAAAUAUACUAUUACUGUGUGUUUUAUUGCCAACUAGUAAAAGCUAAAAUCAGGAAUUAUCAAAGUUGUAGCUACAGGGGACUGGAGACUGGGGUUGAACGUUGAGGUGAACAGGAUACCUACUCUCAUUCCCCCCAGUUUAUUCUUAUUAAAUAUUUAUUUAUAGUAAAUUGGCUUUUGGGGUGCACAGUGCUAUAUAAAUUUUAACAUUAUCUUGAUUUAUAAAUACUGUCACGAUCAGAAUACGUAGACCCCAAAAUUGUGCUACCCCAUAGUCAAACCUUUCCUCCACUCCUAACCCACGCCAAUCACUAAUGUGUUCUGUGUCCCUGGAGUUUUUGGCUUUCUGCGAAUGUCAUGUAAAUGGAAUUAUACAAUUAUUCUGUCAAUGCCACUCUUUUGGGGGAGUGGGACUGGGCAAGAGAACAAUUUCCAUUUUUAACCACAGAGCUAUGGCAGAAGGAACCAGUGAGCUGUCCCUCUGUUCCCCUUCUCCACAUCUCCAAUCACAGGUGUGAGAAAAGGAACUCCAGCCCAGGGUGGGACCAGCCCCUCCCCACACCCUCAAUGUUUAAGAAAUAAAAGUGUGUAAUUUUUUGAGGCUGGCUUCUUCCACAGCACAAUGCAUUUGAAAUGCAUUCACAUCGUUGUAUCAAGUUUGUUCCCUUUUUUGCUGAGUGGUGGGUGUUUAUGCAUCCUCCAUUGAAGGACAUUUGAGUGAUUUCCCAUCUUCAGUGAUUAUAACCAGAGCUUCUAUAAACAUUCAUGUGUGGGCUUUUAUGUGAACACAAGUUUCCAGUUCUCUAGGGUAAAUAUCUAGGAGUGGGAUGGCUGGGUCACAUGGUGAGUGUUUACCUGUAUAAGAAACUGCCAAACUGUUUUUCAGAGGGGCUACAGCAUCUUGUCCUCCAACCAGCGAUGCAGGGGAGUUCCAGGUGCCCCAUAUCCUCACCAACACUUGGUAUUGUCAAGGUUAAAACAAUUAUUACAGCCACCUGAUAGGUGUGUUGUAACUCAUUGUGGUCUUCAUUUAUAUUUCCCUUAAUAAGACCAAUGCUAUUGUUCAUGUGCUUAUUUGUCAUGUGUGUAUAUCUCCUUUGGUGACAUAGCUGUUCAAAUCUUUUGCGUUUUUAAUUGGGUUAUAUAAAAUUAAAUUUAAAUUAAGAUUAUACAGAUUUGCUGUGAAAGAAGCCAGCCUCAAAAAGUUGCACACUGUAUAAUUCUAUUUACAUUGAGCUUUUAGAGUACUUUACAUAUUUUGGAUACAAGUUCUUUGUCAAAUACAUGAUUUCUAAAUAUUUUCUCCCAGUUUAUAGUGAAUCUUUUUAUUCUCUUCAGAGUGAUAUUGGCUGGGUACAUGUAUUCAAAUUUGUAUUCAAAUCUUAGUGUAGGCCCGCACAGUGGCUCAUGCCUGUAAUCCCAGCAAUUCGGGAGUCUGGGGUGGGAGGAUUGCUUCAGCUCAGGAGUUUGAGACCAGCAUGGGCAACAUAGUGAGACCCCAUCUCUACCAAAAGUGAAAAUUAGCUGGGUGUGGUGGUACAUGCCUGUAGUCCCAGCUACUUGGGAGGCUGAGGCAGAAGGAUCACUUGAGCCCAGGAGGAUGAGGCUGCAGUGAGCUGUGACUACACCACUGCAUUCUAGCCUGGGCAAUAGAGCAAGACCCUGUCUCAAAAAAAAAAAAAAAAAAAAAAAGGGUGACAUCGACAGAACAAACAUUUUUAGUUUUGGUGAACUCUAUCAAGUUUUUCUUCUAUAGAUUGUGUUUUUGAUGUCAUAUCUAAGAACCCAAAGUCACAAGAGUUUAUGUUUCUUGUAUAAAUUUUAUAGUUUUACAUUUUACUUGUAGAUCUAGAAUCAAUUUUGAGUUUUCAUAUAAGAUGUGUAAGAAUUUAAUAUAAUUUUUAUGUAUGAAUUGUGUAUAAGAUCUGAGGUUUAGGUCAAGUUCAUUUAUUACAUAUGAAUGUUCAAAUGUUUCAACACUGAUUGUUGAAAAUACUUCCCUUAAUCCAUUGAACUGUCUUUGCACUUUUGACAAAAAUCAGUUGGUUGGGUCUGGAUUAUUCAUUCAUGUAUGGGUCUAUUUCUUUGCCAAUACCAUUUUGUCUUGAUUGCUGUAACUUUAUAGUAAGUUUGAAAACUAGUGGUAGUAAGACUCUUCCAACUUAAUUCUUUUUCAAAAUUAUUUGAGCUAUUCUAGUUCCUUUGCCUUUCCAUAUACAUUUUAGAAGCAGCUUUUUUAUAAAAGCAAAUAAAAAUAAUGCUACGAUUUUGAUAGGAAUGGCAAUAAACCUACAGGUCAGCUUGGGGAAAAAUGACAUCUUUACUAUAUUAAAUCUUCUGAUCAAUGAAUACAGCUGUCUCUCCAUUUAGUUAGCUUUUCACUGAUUUCUUUCAUAAGCAAUUUUGUAGUUUUCACCACUCAAAUCCUGCACAUUUUGUUAGAUUUAUAUCUAAGUAUUUCAUAUUCUGUGGGGGGAGAUAGUAUACAUGAAAUAGUUGUAAAAUUUCAGAUUCCAACUCUUCAUUGCUAGUACAUUGAACAGUGAUGGAUUUUGUUUUUGUCCUGUGUCCUGUGACUUUUCUAAAUUCACUUAUUGAUUCUGUGAGCUUCUUUUGGUACAGUCCUGGGGACUUUCUAUAUAAACAAUUGUCAUCUAUAAAGUAGAAAUUUAUUUAUUUAUAUAUAUAUAUUGAUUUAUUUUGAGACAAGGUCUCAUUCUGUCACCCAGGCUGGAGUUCAGUGGCAGGAUCAUGGCUCACUGCAGCCUCAACCUCCCCAAGCUCAGGUGAUCCUCCCACCUCAGCCCCCUGAGUGGCUGGGAUUACAGGCACACACCACCAUACUCAGCUAAUUUUUUUUUUUUUUUUUUUUUGAGACAGAGUCUUGCUCUGUGGGCUAGGCUGGAGUGCAGCAGCACGAUCUCAGCUCACUGCAACCCCCGUCUACCAGGUUCAAGCAAUUCUCCUGCCUCAGCCUCCCGAGUAGCUGGGAUUACAGGCAUGUGCCACCACAUCUGGCUAUUUUUUUUAAAAAUUUUUAUUAGAUACAGGGUUUCACCAUGUUGUCCAGGCUGGUCUUGAACUCCUGGGCUCAAGAGAUCCACCUGCCUCAGUCUCCCAAAGUGCUGGGAUUACAGGUGUGAGCCACCACACCCGGCCAAUUGGAAAUAUUUUUAUUUCUUCCUUUCUAAUCUAG